rnacentral:misc_RNA from 1 species
CGCCUAGCAUAGGUGUGCCGAUAAGGAUUCCUGUCGCUGAGGUGGCGUCUCUCUCCGUCGCUCUCUUUCUCACUUGUCGGAGGCGGGUGCAUUCAUGUGAGCGCCUCUCUCUGUGACCUCUCUCUGAUGUCGGAGGAGAAAAGGACGACGAGUGCCGCCCCUGAGGCGAAGUAUAAUGCUUACGCUGAGGCGGCAGAUCCGGACCGCUAUCGUGUCGCUGACGCUCUGCUUUUCACGUGCGCGGAGCACGGUAAGGCGUGCGUUCUGUGCGUCACAGCCGGCAAGAAUGGCCGCAACGGACGCACAGCUGCCGUUGGCGCCACGAUUUUCUGGUUGACUUGCCCGAAUCUGAACGCCAUCAUAGCGAGAUUUGAGGGCCACCGAUGCGUCCGGGCGGUGUCAGCGGCGAUGGCGCAGCAGCCGUGUCUCUGUGACUGGCACGUGCAGUCGCACGACGUGUACGCGAGUCGCGCCAGGGAACUUCUCUCGCCGGCACAGUGGUGUUUUUUCGAGGCCCACUUUCUCUCCGACGAUCAGCCGUCCCUGCACAAGUACGGCAAUGCCGCGGUGAGCCAUGCUGCGGGCAUGAAGUGUCUGCACGCCCUCGUCGCCCAGACCCUGGCGGGUGUGGCGAACCCCGUUGGCUCGGUUGUGGUCAACUACAUCCUCUUGCAGCAUCAGCUCGUCCGUGAGGCGGCCGAAAUGGGAAACACUGAGCAACACGGAGUCGAAGAGAGGCGGCUCUCGAUGAAGGCCACGUUGGACAGCACACGUUUGUUUUCGGACUUCAUGACGGCUUUUGUGAGGGCAGCGUCGGAGCGGGCUUGUGAGGGCUGGCAUGGCCUCCGCAACGUGUCCUUCGAAGUCCCACUUCCUGAAGGCAACAUGUGGGGCAAGACAGCCGUGCAAUACAUGUGGCGGGCCGAUUCUCAGCUAGCGGCUCUCUGCCCCGAUCUCUGCGCGCGGGCGCUGACGGUGCUCGUUGCGUUGGAAGGACAGUUGCGGCAUCGGCACAAGAAGCACCGCAUCAACUGAGACUGCGGGCACCCCGCACACGCGUCGUGGACCCUGCCAACGGGCAGGCGGCAUCGCAUUUCGCAAAGCUUUCUCUUGUCCUCGACACGCUUUUUUUUUUGACCUGUGUACUGGCAGCUGACAUGCCGAAAGGCGCUCCUUCAACCACGCUGGUGCUGCUGCCGGCGCAUCCACCUCAAAUGAGCGUCCGUUACCCCGUCUGGUGGUAAACAAAUCUGCCUACUAAUCGGGGCGUUGAGAGGCCGGUGUAGGCGUCGUGGUCGAAGGAGGAGAAUGGGCAAGGGGCGAGCGCGCGGCACUGAACGAGCAACGAAAGAAGUUGAACAUCGUUCCCCUUCUGCGCUCUUUCUCCGAGGUUUACUUUCAUGCACUUGCAGGUACAGCGCCGGCGGCGUGCGACCCGCCGCACGACAUUCCACGCCAUUGCCGUGCCACGAGGUGUCUCAGACAAAGAAGUCGCAGUUAGAGGUCCCAAGUACAAGGGCGAUGGGUGCGGCGAUGGCCGAAGCAGCGACACUUCCAUCAGUAACCGGGCAGAUGCGUGCGCCGGCGAAACUGUCACCCUCAGCCCUCCUCCCUCUGCUUUCCCGAGCCGCACCAG